rnacentral:rRNA from 1 species
ACCAUCNAGUCUUUGAACGCAAGUUGCGCCCGAAGCCCUCGGGCCGAGGGCACGCCUGCCUGGGCGUCACGCAUCGCGUCGCCCCCCCCANCCCCGCCCGUUCCGGGGGGNGCGCGAGGGGGNGCGGAGAAUGGCCUCCCGUGCGCACCCGNCGCGCGGCCGGCCC